UACGUAGGGCGCAAGCGUUAUCCGGAAUUAUUGGGCGUAAAGAGCUCGUAGGCGGUUUGUCGCGUCUGCCGUGAAAGUCCGGGGCUCAACUCCGGAUCUGCGGUGGGUACGGGCAGACUAGAGUGAUGUAGGGGAGACUGGAAUUCCUGGUGUAGCGGUGGAAUGCGCAGAUAUCAGGAGGAACACCGAUGGCGAAGGCAGUUCUCUGGGCCGUAACUGACGCUGAGGAGCGAAAGCGUGGGGAGCGAACAGG
rnacentral:rRNA from 1 species